GCAUGUCUAAGUAUAAGCUUUAUACUGUGAAACUGCGAAUGGCUCAUUAAAUCNNUUAUAGUUUAUUUGAUGGUGUUUUCUACUCGGAUAACCGUAGGAAAACUAGAGCUAAUACGUGCGUAAAUCCCGACUUCGGAAGGGACGUAUUUAUUAGAUAAGAGGCCGACCGGGCUUGUCCCGACCUUCGGUGAAUCAUGAUAACUUCACGAAUCGCAUGGUCUUGAACCGGCGAUGUUUCAUUCAAAUUUCUGCCCUAUCAACUUUCGACGGUAGGGUAGUGGCCUACCGUGGUGGUAACGGGUGACGGAGGAUUAGGGUUCGAUUUCGGAGAGGGAGCCUGAGAAACGGCUACCACAUCCAAGGAAGGCAGCAGGCGCGCAAAUUACCCAAAUCCCAACUCGGGGAGGUAGUGACAAGAAAUAACGAUGCUCCGGCCUUUGGUCGGGUAAUCGGAAUGAGAACAAUUUAAAUCCCUUAUCGAGGAUCAAUUGGAGGGCAAGUCUGGUGCCAGCAGCCGCGGUAAUUCCAGCUCCAAUAGCGUAUAUUUAAGUUGCUGCGGUUAAAAAGCUCGUAGUCGGAUUUCGGGUGGCGCCUACCGGUCCGCCUUUGGUGAGUACUGGUAGGUACCUCCUUUCUGCCGAGGACGGGGUUCUGGGCUUAGCUGUCUGGGUCCCGGAGUCGGCGAUGUCACUUUGAGUAAAUUAGGGUGUUCAAAGCAGGCUUAUGCUCUGUAUACACUAGCAUGGGAUGACACGAUAGGACUUCGGCUUAUCUUGUCGGUCUGUAGGUCGGAGUAAUGAUGAAGAGGGACAGUCGGGGGCAUUCGUAUUUCGUAGUCAGAGGUGAAAUUCUUGGAUUUACGGAAGACGAACUUCUGCGAAAGCAUUUGCCAAGGAUGUUUUCAUUGAUCAAGAACGAAAGUCGGGGGCUCGAAGACGAUUAGAUACCGUCGUAGUCUCGACCAUAAACGAUGCCGACUAGGGAUCGGAGGUGGUUUUUUUAUGACCUCUCCGGCACCUUACGAGAAAUCAAAGUUUCUGGGU
rnacentral:rRNA from 1 species